rnacentral:rRNA from 1 species
GAUGAACGCUAGCUACAGGCUUAACACAUGCAAGUCGAGGGGUAACGAGAGGAAAGCUUGCUUUCCUUGUCGACGACCGGCGCACGGGUGAGUAACGCGUAUCCAACCUGCCCCCAACUAGGGAAUAACCUUGCGAAAGUAAGACUAAUACCCUAUAAUUUCCUCAGAUGUCAUCUGACGAGGAAUAAAGAUUUAUCGGUUGUGGAUGGGGAUGCGUCUGAUUAGCUUGUUGGAGGGGUAACGGCCCACCAAGGCAACGAUCAGUAGGGGUUCUGAGAGGAAGGUCCCCCAAAUUGGAACGGAGACACGGUCCAAACUCCUACGGGAGGCAGCAGUGAGGAAUAUUGGUCAAUGGGCGGAAGCCUGAACCAGCCAAGUAGCGUGCAGGAUGACGGCCCUAUGGGUUGUAAACUGCUUUUAUACAGGAAUAAAGUUAGCCACGUGUGGUUAUUUGUAGGUACUGUAUGAAUAAGGACCGGCUAAUUCCGUGCCAGCCGCCGCAGUAA